AUGGGAGGCAGAAAGAGAGUGAGAGAAAGGAUGGGAGGCAGAAAGAGAGUGAGAGAAAGGAUGGGAGGCAGAAAGAGAGUGAGAGAAAGGAUGGGAGGCAGAAAGAGAGUGAGAGAAAGGAUGGGAGGCAGAAAGAGAGUGAGAGAAAGGAUGGGAGGCAGAAAGAGAGUGAGAGAAAGGAUGGGAGGCAGAAAGAGAGUGAGAGAAAGGAUGGGAGGCAGAAAGAGAGUGAGAGAAAGGAUGGGAGGCAGAAAGAGAGUGAGAGAAAGGAUGGGAGGCAGAAAGAGAGUGAGAGAAAGGAUGGGAGACAGAAAGAGAGUGAGAGAAAGGAUGGGAGGCAGAAAGAGAGUGAGAGAAAGGGAAAAGACAGCAAGAAGAAAAGAGCAAGAAAAAAAGACAGAAAAAGUGGAUGGCCAGAGUGUAUUAGAGAACCUUUUAUGUCCCAGGACUGUUCCCAUCAGUGGAGAGAGAGGCGUGUUGCCGUGCCAACCUAAACAGCAGCAUUGGGGAGGUCCGUCUUUCCCGUCGCUCCCUACUUCCCCUCACACAGCCCAUGGACAGGAUGGAAAACAAACCCAACCCGCGUGUGUGUGUGUGUGUGUGUGUGUGUGUGUGUGUGUGUGUGCGUGUAUGUGUAUGACCACCAGCCAUACACACAUACCCAAUCCCCACACAUACACCCUGGCCUUACACACCCUGCCUAGACACGGGAAGUAGUGCUGAUACAGGACAUUGCAAGUACAGCGUUUCUCUACCUUUUCUGUACCCGUGUCUGGCGAGACAUGGUCGUCCUCCUCUUUUUUAACCAGCUCAUGUUUAAAACAUUAUACAAUAUGUAAAAACCCCACUGGAGAUAAAACUCCUAUAACUCCACUAUAGCCGUGCCUCUGCUCUAGCCAUUUUGUCGCUUUGUGCUGUCUGUCUGUCUGUCUGUCUGUCUGUCUGUCUGUCUGUAUGUCUGUCUGUAUGUCUGUCUGUCUGUCCAGAAUCAAUUGAGCUACCCCCAAAAAAUAGGACAUUUUGAGUGAGGUGACAAUGUAGAAUGUGCUCUUUCUAUGUUUAUAGGCAUCCAUUCCGUUUUUCUAUGAUCAGUGAUCAUGGCUAUCCAACUGAUGACAGAGUUGGGGAAGGUCUCUUUGCUGAUGCCGCGUUUGACUUUGAAUGUGUGACCUCAGCUCAGCCUAUCAGAAAACCGGGCCGGCCUUUGCCCACUGAUCUGCCAAAAGCUCAUUAUAGAUUAGUGUAGGUACACGGGUUUCGGUUUUAUACAACAAAAAAACAUUUUUGUGUGUGCCAAUUUUGACCUGCCCACCUAACUCAAAAAUUGUCCAGAACAUCUGGCAUUUGUCAGAAUUGCCAAAUGGCCAAUCCGCCCCUGGACCAGUUCCAGAGAGACCAGCUCAGACCUCGAGACUGUAAUGUUUUCACAAAGUACAGUGUCAGUGGGCAGGGAUCAGCAAAGCUAAGAUAGUACACAGGCACCAGGCGAGAGGUCAAGGGGCGUACACACACAUACGCACACAGACACACUCUCUUGAUCACCCUGUGAUUCAGCAGCAGGUUCCCACAGUCGCCUCAGUGUUUGUGUAGUCUGUUACAUGCGACCUGACAGGGUGUGUGUCUGAGUGUUUGUGUGAAGCGGGGAGAGAGAUGGGGUGUAAAGUCUUUGACAGAGUCCUCCUGCCAUCAGCAGCACAGAGAUAUAAACAACAAGCGCCUUCUCCAUCUCUACUUAAGUUAAAUAAAUGUUCAAUUAAAUCAAAUGAAAUACUUACCAUAUGAACAGUUAAGUAACUGGUGUCAUUCUGAUAUCAGUAUAGACGGGUUGGCUGACGGCCUCGCGGAGAUUAUGCUCGUGCAUUGUGGCUGGAAGCUGCGUGUUGUCAUAAUUCCUAACUGGUCAGAUAGCUAGCACCAAUGACAAGAAGCUGCCAUGAGGGGAAACAUAGGUAGCUCGUUUGAUCUAUUUUGAUCAAUUUCGAUCAAUUUCUUGAUAUCAUGUCUUGUUCUGAUGUGUUUUGACUGAUUUCAUGUCAAUGCCAAUAUGGAAGAAAAAAAAGAAAACCCAACAACAAUAAGACCAAAAUGGCGCCGGAAGAAAUGGCAGCAGUUUUACGGGAGCCCAACUAAUUGUGCUAUCGUGUUUUUUCCCCGCAUUAUCUGUAACUUAUUUUGUACAUAAUGUUUCUGCAACUGUAUCUUACUGCAAAAAAAAGAGCUUCUGGAUAUCAGAUCAUUCACUUCGGACGAGACAAAGAUUUUUUCCUCCACAAGCAAGACACACAAGACAUUCUCCAAACACGCGUUAUUUGCAAGAGGAAGCGACGCAGGUAGAGAGGACAAAGAGACGGAUGCCUGGUCAGGACCCGGAAAAGGCGAAUGGGAAAGCUGUCGUUACCGUCAAUACCACUCGCCAACGUGCAAUCAUUGGAAAAUAAACUAAACUAGGUACGAUCACGAAUAUCCUACCAACUGGACAUAAAAAACUGUAAUAUCCUAUGUUUCACGGAAUCGUGGCUGAAUGACGACAUGGAUAUUCAGCUAGUAUUUUCACGUCCGGAUGAAAAGCGUGCCUAAAGUAAACUGCCUGUUACUCAGGCCCAGAAGCUAGGAUAUGCAUAUACUUGGUAGAUAGAAAACAGUUUCUAAAAGUGUUAAAAUAAUGUCUGUGAGUAUAACAGAACUGAUAUGGCAGGCGAAACCCUGAGGACAAACCAUAAAAAAAAGAAUUUCAGCCUACCACUGUUUCCAUGGAUUUCAUGUUUAGUCUCACAGAUUGCAGUUCCUAAGGCUUCCACUAGAUGUCAAGUCUUUAGAAAGAGUUUCAGGCUGUUUUUUGGAAAAAUUAGCUAGAAGUUGUAGUUUUUCUAAGUGGCUCCCAUUUUGUCUGUAGUGCAUCCAUGUGCAUGAAUGAAAGCGCGUUCUUUGUUAUUUAUCUCAGGUAAUGAACAUACUAUUCUCCGUCUUAAAUUGUAUCGUAUAUUUACGUAUUAGGGUACCUGAGGUUUGAUUAUAAACGUUGUUUGACCUGUUUGGAUAAAUUUAUUGGUAACGUUUGAGAUUCAUUUUAUGUGCAUUUUGAAGGAGGGAAACCGGUGGAUUAUUGAAUGAAGCGUGCCAGCUAAACUGAGUUUUUAUCGAUAUAAAGAAGGACUUUAUCGAACAAAAGGACCAUUUGCAUUGUGUGCCCCCCACAACCCCUCUUUUUACGCUGCUGCUACUUUCUGUUUAUCAUAUGUAUAUGCAUAGUCACUUUAACUAUACAUUCAUGUACAUACUACCUCAAUUGGGCAGCCCAACCAGUGCUCCCGCACAUUGGCUAACCGGGCUGUCUGCAUUGUGUCCCACCCACCAACCCCUCUUUUAUGCUACUUCUACUCUCUGUUCAUCAUAGAUGCAUAGUCACUUUAACCAUAUCUACAUGUACAUACUACCUCAAUCAGUCUGACUAACCAGUGUCUGUAUGUAGCCUCGCUACUGUAUAUAGCCUGUGUUUUUAUUGUUGUUUUAUUUCUUUACCUACCUAUUGUUCACCUAAUAACUUUUUUGCACUAUUGGUUAGAGCCUGUAAGUAAGCAUUUCACUGUAAGGUCUACUACACCUGUCGUAUUCGGCGGACGAGACAAACAACUGUAAAAAUCUAUUUGAGAGACAUGUGCUCAUUGUGUAAAUGUAUUUACAGUGCAUAUGGAAAGUAUUCAGACCCCUUGACCGUUUCCACAUUUUAUUACGUUACAGCCUUAUUCUAAAAUGGAUUAAAUUGUUUCCCCCCUCAUCAAUCUACACACAAUACCCCAUAAUGUCAAAGCAAAAACAGGUUUUCAUACAUUUUUACAAAUGUAUAAAAAAACAUGUAAUCACAUUUACAUAAGUAUUCAAACCCUUUGCUCAGUACUUUGUUGAAGAACCUUUGGCAGCGAUUACAGCCUCAAGUCUUCUUGGGUAUGACGCUACAAGCUUGGCACACCUGUAUUUGGGGAGUUUCUCCCAUUCUUCUCUGCAGAUCCUCUCAAGCGCUCAGGUUGGAUGGGGAGCGUCACUGCACAGCUAUUUUCAGGUCUCUCCAGGGAUGUUCGAUCGGGUUCAAGUUCAGGCUCUGGCUGGGUCACUCAAGGGCAUUCAGAGACUUGUCCCUAUGCCACUCCUAUGUUGUCUUGGCAGUGUGCUUAGGGUUGUUGUCCUGUUGGAAGGUGAAUCUUCGCCCCAGUCUGAGGUCCUGAGCUCUGUGGGGCAGGAUGCGGCCACCACCAUUCUUCGCCGUAGGGAUGAUGCCAAGUAUCCUCCAGACAUGACACUUGGCAUUCAGGCCAAAGAGUUCAAUCUUGGUUUCAUCAGACCAGAGAAUCUUGUUUCUCAUGAUCUGAGAGUCUCUAGGGGCCUUUUAGCAAACUCAAUGCGGGCUGUCAUGUGCCUUUUACUGAGGAGUGGCUUCCGUCUGGCCACUCUACCAUAAAGGCCUAAUUGGUGGAUGGUUGUCCUUCUGGAAGGUUCUCCCAGGAACUCUGGAGCUCUGUCAGAGUGACCACCGGGUUCUUGGUCACCUUCCUGACCAAGGCCCUUCUCCCCCGAUUGCCCAGUGUGCCUCGACACAAUCCUGUCUUGGAGCUCUACGGACAAUUCCUUCAACCUCAAGGCUUGGUUUCUGUUCUGACAUGCACUGGCAUCUGUGGGAUCUUAUAUAGACAGGUGUAUGCCUUUCUAAAUGAUGUCCAAUCCCCUGAAUUUACCACAGGUGGACUCCAUUGAAGUUGUAGAUACAUUUCAAGGAUGAUCAAUGGGAAACAGGAUGCACCGAAGCUCAAUUUCGAGUCUCAUAGCAAAGGGUCUAAAUACUUACGUAAAUAAGGUAUUUCUGUUUUUAUUUUUGAAUACAUUUGCAAACAUUUCUAAAAACUUGUUUUCGCUUCGUCUACUAUGUGUAGAUUGAUGGUAUUUAAAAAAAAAAAAUGUUUAGAAUAAAGCUGUAACGUAACAAAAUUUGGAAAAAGUCAAGGGGUCUGAAUACUUUCCAAAUGCACUGUAUGUUUUCAAUAAACAUUUACAUGUUGUCAACCAUCUAAGCCAACCCAGUCUGUUUUGUCCCAUAGUUGGUAAAGAAGCAACCCGUCUAUAAUGUUGUGAUAUGUUGCAUCUGGUUCAGUUGAGUCUUAUCAAGAGAAUGGUGCAAUUUUAGGUUCCACUAUUUCAAACAUACGCAAACCAGGGACCCCAUCAGCCAGGAUCCACCCCACAGUUCCCUUCACCCCUGCCCCUCACCCUCCUAACUGGUGAGUUUCUGCAGCAGCGGGCUGAGCUCCGUCUUUUGGUGACGACUAGGGUGAGCGCUCCAAUCAGCUCCCUCUCCACCUUCUCCACCUCUUCAUCGUCUGCAGGCUGAGCCUCUCCAGCCAGGGAGUACAGGUAGACCAGUAGCACUAGCAGCUCGUCUGGACCACACUCAUCUUCCCCCGACCGAGAACCUGAACUGGACUCUGAGCUGGACCCCUCCUCACCGCGAGGCUUCAUCAGGGGCAGCAGCUGCCUCAGAACACCAGCAAAGUCAGUCUCCCCGAGAGCCUGCAACACACACAGGGCACAAGACACAUUUUAGAGAUAAGAAGUAGAAACUACAAGCUGGGUAACACAAAACACGUCAAAUCCCCACACACAUACAACAACUAGCAAGACAAUGUCAAUGAUUGUCUAGAGCAGCAUGUUUUUGCGUUUGCUUUUUU
rnacentral:lncRNA from 13 species